rnacentral:tRNA from 1 species
GUGACUAUGGCUCAGUAGUAGAGCACAUGCUUAGAAUAACGAGGUCCUGGGUUCAAACCCCAGUACCUCCA